UACAGAGGUCCCAAGCGUUGUUCGGAUUCACUGGGCGUAAAGGGUGCGUAGGUGGUGAGGUAAGUCGGAUGUGAAAUCUCCGGGCUUAACCCGGAAACUGCAUUGGAAACUACCUUGCUAGAGGUUUUGAGGGGGGACUGGAAUUCUCGGUGUAGCAGUGAAAUGCGUAGAUAUCGAGAGGAACACCAGUGGCGAAGGCGAGUCCCUGGAAAACACCUGACACUGAGGCACGAAAGCUAGGGGAGCAAACAGG
rnacentral:rRNA from 1 species